CAUGCAUGCCAUACGUACAAAGCGCCUGCCUGUCAACAAGGGCGCCACUUCACUGCGUGGGAACCAGGCUGUUGAUGUAGUCAGGUGACCCUGCCCGUGUCCUUGGAUGGGAAUAUUUGACACGCGCGAAUAAAUGGAGGCAAAGCAACAUGUAUGGCAGGUGGCAAGGAUAGGAGGGGGCGGCAAAAAAGCCACGACCAUGCGGUGGCCAAAACAAGCAGUUCACGAUGUGACUCAGCGAUGGAGGCUACCAGCUGCUGGUCACACUUUUUGUUUUGUCGCUUGGCUCGACCCUGAAUGGAACGGUCCGUUUAGUCGAUAGCCAUCCGGAAACCGGAGAAAACCCACGCAGGCACGGGGAGAACAUGCAAACUCCACCCUGGCGAGGCCGGGAUUUGAACCCCGGUCCUGAAAAGUGUGAGGCAGAUGUGCUAACCAGUCAUCCACUGUGCCGCCAUAAAGAUGGCGUACAAGUCGUUUGGACCAGCUACAGAACACCUUCGAGCAGCGAGACAGAGAGUGUCAAAUGCAGAGGAGACCACAGGAAGUGACGGACGCAGAGGCGGCAGCGGGACAACCGCCUCAAUCUGAUGUUCGCGUCAUAAAAGACUCUUAGGAUAAUGUGAAGAUACGUAUUUGGUCUCCCAAGAUUCACACGCCUCAGCUGGAUCAGGGACGUCCUGACAAGGCUCGUCAGCUGCAUUGUCGGUAUGACAGGAAGAUUUUGAAGUCGGACCUCCAACAAGUCCUCAACAUUUUCAUCACGCUGAAACACAAACGGAAAAGUUUCAAGUGGAAGUUUUUCACUGGCAAAGCAAGCGGGAUGAAGGUGAUGGUAAAGAGAAGGGAGAAGAGAAAGAAGAGAUGAGGAGGAAGCAGACGAUGAGGAGGAGCGAGAGGAGGGGAAGGAUGAAGAGAAAGGGAUGACGGGAAGGAGGAGGAAGAAGACAAAGAGAAAAAUGGGGAUGAUGGGGAGGAGGAAGAGUACGAAGACGGAAAAGGGGAGGAGGAAGAGGAUGAGGAAGUGGAAGAGGAGGAAAGAUAGUGAGAAAGAAGCAGAAGAGGGUUUGGAAGAGGAGGAAGGGGGAGGAUGAGGAAAAAGAGGAAGAUGAUAAUGAGGAGGAGGACAAAGAGGGGUGUCCGUAUUGUGCUGAGCCUGUUGCAGUUGUUCCGACAUCUCACUGAUGGCCUCCGUUUUCUUGGCAGCCGACUCGCGCGGGGCGACACCGCAACGGUCUCAGUAGCUCAACCAAUAGCAGCAGGCGCAGCAGACCCCCCCCCCCCCCCCCCAAAAAAAAAACAACCACAGUUUUUGUGAUAUUUUUUAAUUAGAAUAAAAGCACUCUAUAAUGCAGUGGUGCGUUGAGAUGCAGGACAGCCGACUGAUGAGUUUUUCAAGAUAUGAGCCGUUGAUCGGAGAAUUUUUUGCUUUGACUUGUGAGUACAAGUGCUGGCGCUCUGAAUCCUGAUUCAUUAUUCGUGUUGACAGUAACAAAUGACUUCCGAAUCAGAAUUGAAUCAUUACUUCUUGUACUAUCAAGAAUUAAAGACUUCAUAGUCCAACAAAGGAAAAACCCUAUUUGAUUAGUUGAAAACAAGCUAUUGAACUGGAAAGAGAGCACGCUGGCGCAUUUUGGCAAUCAGUUCUUCUUAGUGUCAAAUAGCUUACUCUAACCAGGAUCCCUAUCCAUACCGUGGCCAAAGGUAACACUUUUCUAGCUAACCGGUGGGCUAGGCGGCUAGCUAAUUGACCGGCUCGGCAGUGAAAUAUUUAGUAUUUCUUUGAGUAAAUGCAGCAUGGCAGCAGUUACAGCUCUUGUCAGAAUAAAGUAAGUAGUAUGUUAUUCUUUGAUUAGUUGUGAUUCGAAUCCGAAAAUUAACAUUCUGCGUUCAUUUUUGUCAGGGUUAGGGUUAUGCCAAUUCGAGUCACCAAAGAACAGCCCCAGAUGAAGAUAGUGGUGAUUCAACUCACUUCACAACAAGUACAUUUGAAUUAACCAAUUUUAGGAAAAAAAAGGGACACACUAAUAAAACAACUAUGACAAGAAAGACAGGAGUUGGCCGAAUGUGAUCUGCGGACCAUAAUUUGCCUACCCCUGCCCUGUAGACCCCUCUUUGUCAGUGUUUAGUAAAACUGGAGGUUAAAAACAUCAUAAGAGCGAAUACUGCAGUUUGUGAAGCAAAUGUUCUUGGUCUGUCACAAGAUGCCAUUUUUGAAGCUACUAUUUAAAAACUGCUCAAUGGCUUCCUCAACCUGUUGCACAGAAUCCGAAUACGGUGAAUAUGCAAGUAGACGUUCACACAAAUAGAAACGCGCAACCUGCUGACACCUCAAGGAAGGCCACAUUCUCACCUCAAAAAUUUCCACCAACUGACUUGACUUUGUCAGGGCCAGAGUUUCCACCGGAUGUUUUUUGAGGUGACUUUUGUUUCUAAAAACUCAAAUAGGAGCGCCCUUGUUCAGCUCAUCACUGUACAGAUACAGUUGAACAUUAGUAACUGUAAGUCUCAAAAGAAGUUCUUAUGCAGAUAUUAGCUAAUGAUGUGUUGUAAUGAAUGUGCAAAGUGUACAUUAGGUUCUUCUUUUGUUAUUUUUGACUAUAUCCGUGAUCCUCAAAGUGUGCUCCCUCUAGUGGUAAAUAUAUGUUCAA